UACGGAGGGUGCGAGCGUUGUCCGGAAUCAUUGGGCGUAAAGCGUGCGCAGGCGGCGCGUUAAGACAGGUGUGAAAGCCCCGAGCUUAACUUGGGAAUUGCGCUUGUGACUGGCGUGCUGGAGUGUGGCAGAGGGAGGUGGAAUUCCACGUGUAGCAGUGAAAUGCGUAGAGAUGUGGAGGAACACCGAUGGCGAAGGCGGCCUCCUGGGCCAGCACUGACGCUCAUGCACGAAAGCGUGGGGAGCAAACAGG
rnacentral:rRNA from 1 species